CAAUAAUAAAGUGCACAUUUGUGACAUAGCCAAGGCUUUCGCAGAAGCCGCUGUAUGAAUGAUGUCAGGGUAUAGGCUUACGCAGAAGCCGCAAUAGAGGUACAUACAUUAAUACUUGUAUAGGCUUACGCAGAAGCCGUUUUCCAGUAGUUCAGUAGUAUAAAGAUGAAGAGCAAUAAUCUACAACUGAUGUGCAUGUUUACUAGCGCUUCCAGUCUCGUCAGUGGUUGAUUUGCUAUUUUGUGUUUUAGCACACCACCUCUACGUGGCCGUCGAUCGGGUCUUGGCUUGAGUACACAUGUCACUUUGAAUGGCAUGGUAUUAGACAGUUGUUAACUAAUAAUCAUUUAACAUUUCUAAAUAUUCCUAUAGGUAGAACAUAUAUGAAACUAAACCUGGCGUCUAGUGAUACGGUAGGUCAGUGUAUCCGUGCCCGCAGCCCGGACGAGGGUCGUCGUGUGCCCCCUCCGCCCCCCUUCCCAUGUGGGUGCUUGAGUCUCUUGUCAACCCUCCGUGUUUUCCUGAUAUUGUUCCCACAACUCCCAAGUUCUGUUGAACUUUUUAGUGGUGUGUCUGACUAGGGAGGUUAAUCUAUCCAUAAGGUAAUUGUCUUUUAUCUUUGCUAGGACCAGGGCCAACGGGGGUAAUUCUGGGCAUCGCCACUUCUGUGCUAAAGCCCUACGUGCCGCUAAGUAAAUCAUGUUUAAUAAUUGUUGCUCUGGACGUGGGAGGCCGACUGUUGGUCUGGAGAGAAGGCAGGCCCAGGGGUCUAGCUGUAGCGGUCUCUGCAGUAUGUUUGUGCUCAGGCUGAUGAUUUGAACCCAGUAUGCUUGUACCAAGGGGCACUUCCACCACAUAUGCACGUAGGUGCCUCGUUCCCCGCAACCGUGCCAGCAUUGAUCUGUGGAAGUGAUCUGCAUGCGGAAUUGUUUUAAUGGUGUGGUGUACCACCUGAAAAGUGUAUUAAAUGAUUGUUCUUGAAGGGUGACACAUAUUGAUGAUCUGGCUGUGGCCUCCCAUAUAUCUUGCCAAUCGGAGCCCUCUAACGUCUCACCCAGGUCUGUCUCCCACUGAUCAGUGUAACGUAACUCCCCCCAUUCUUUGGCCUCCCCGCUAAGAUGAGAGUACAAUAAUGAUAUGAGUCCUUUGGGGUGUGUUUCUUGGUAGCAUAUAUUCUCGAACCAGGUGAGGGGGAGGGUGGCUAUCUCUUUGACUUCUUUUGAGCUAGCGAAGUCUCGUAAUUGGAGGUAGCGGAAGAAGUCCCUGGUUGUUAGGGUGGAUUGUUCCCUGAGCUGAUCGUAAGUGACUAUUUGAUCGUUUUUGUAUAGAUGGCAGUAUCUCUGUAUACCUGCCCUCUCGAGGCCACUAAAGUCACCUGCUGUCAUUCCCGGUUGGAAGGAUCGGUUCCGAAGUACAGGGGACAUUGGGGAGGGGAACCUGCUUAAAGAGUACUUGACUGCUAUUUUGUUCCAGAUUCUCAGGGAAUUUGUUAUUGCUGGACAGGUUACUCUGGGGAGUGCUCUGUGUGCCUUAUGUAACCAGGGGUAGAAUUGUGGUAAAUCUUGCCCCAUUAGUGAUGUCUCAAGUUCUACCCACCGUCGGGUGUCUGGGGUGGAGUGCCAGUAUGCGAUUUGCGCUGUCUGCGCCGCUAGGUAGUAUAUGUACAAGUUCGGUAGCCCCAGUCCCCCUCUUUCUUUGGGCCGGUAUAGGAGUUUUCUAGCUAUUCUGGGCCGCUUCUUUUGCCAAAUGAACAUGUCUAUUGCUUUUUGGAGUGUGGCUAGGUCUCUCCUUUUGAUCGGUGUGGGCAGGGCC